rnacentral:rRNA from 1 species
AUUGAACGCUGGCGGCAGGCCUAACACAUGCAAGUCGAGCGGAUGAAGGGAGCUUGCUCCUGGAUUCAGCGGCGGACGGGUGAGUAAUGCCUAGGAAUCUGCCUGGUAGUGGGGGAUAACGUCCGGAAACGGGCGCUAAUACCGCAUACGUCCUGAGGGAGAAAGUGGGGGAUCUUCGGACCUCACGCUAUCAGAUGAGCCUAGGUCGGAUUAGCUAGUUGGUGGGGUAAAGGCCUACCAAGGCGACGAUCCGUAACUGGUCUGAGAGGAUGAUCAGUCACACUGGAACUGAGACACGGUCCAGACUCCUACGGGAGGAAGCAGUGGGGAAUAUUGGACAAUGGGCGAAAGCCUGAUCCAGCCAUGCCGCGUGUGUGAAGAAGGUCUUCGGAUUGUAAAGCACUUUAAGUUUGGAGGAAGGGCAGUAAGUUAAUACCUUGCUGUUUUGACGUUACCAACAGAAUAAGCACCGGCUAACUUCGUG